rnacentral:rRNA from 1 species
UACGAAGGGGGGCUAGCGUUGCUCGGAAUUACCGGGCGUAAAGCGUGCGCAGGCGGUUUUGUAAGUUUGUCGUGAAAGCCCCGGGCUCAACCUGGGGAAUUGCGAUGAAGACUGCAAGGCUUGAAUCUGGCAGAGGGGGGGUAGAAUUCCACGUGUAGCAGUGAAAUGCGUAGAGAUGUGGAGGAACACCGAUGGCGAAGGCAGCCCCCUGGGUCAAGAUUGACGCUCGAUGCACGAAAGCGUGGGGAGCAAACAGG